rnacentral:rRNA from 1 species
UACAGAGGUCUCAAGCGUUGUUCGGAAUUACUGGGCGUAAAGGGCGCGUAGGCGGCCAUCUAAGUCGGACGUGAAAUCCCUCGGCUUAACCGAGGAACUGCGUCCGAUACUGGAUGGCUUGGAUUCGGGAGAGGAAUGCGGAAUUCCAGGUGUAGCGGUGAAAUGCGUAGAUAUCUGGAGGAACACCGGUGGCGAAGGCGGCAUUCUGGACCGAUAUUGACGCUGAGGAGCGAAAGCCAGGGGAGCAAACGGG